rnacentral:rRNA from 1 species
GACGUAGGGCGCGAGCGUUGUCCGGAUUUAUUGGGCGUAAAGAGCUCGUAGGCGGUCUGUCACGUCGGCUGUGAAAACCCGGGGCUCAACCCCGGGCCUGCAGUCGAUACGGGCAGACUAGAGUGUGGUAGGGGAGACUGGAAUUCCUGGUGUAGCGGUGAAAUGCGCAGAUAUCAGGAGGAACACCGGUGGCGAAGGCGGGUCUCUGGGCCAUAACUGACGCUGAGGAGCGAAAGCGUGGGGAGCGAACAGG